UUUCUACUCCCGCCGUCCAAAAAUACUUGUCAUCAAAAUGGAUAAAAAGAGAUGUAUCUAAAACUAAAAUACAUCUAGAUACAUUUCCUUUUAUCCAUUUUGAUGACAAGUAUUUUCGGACGGAGGGAGUAUUUG
rnacentral:pre_miRNA from 1 species